rnacentral:rRNA from 1 species
AUACGUAGGGGGCGAGCGUUGUCCGGAAUGAUUGGGCGUAAAGGGCGCGUAGGCGGCGCGGUAAGUCUGGAGUGAAAGUCCUGCUUUCAAGGUGGGAAUUGCUUUGGAUACUGCCGCGCUUGAGUGCAGGAGAGGUUAUCGGAAUUCCCGGUGUAGCGGUGAAAUGCGUAGAGAUCGGGAGGAACACCAGUGGCGAAGGCUGGUAACUGGACUGCAAAUGACGCUGAGGCGCGAAAGUGUGGGGAGCAAACAGGAUUAGAUACCCUGGUAGUCCACACUGUAAACGAUGAAUGCUAGGGGUAAGAGGUAUCGACCCCUUUUGUGCCGGAGUCAACACAAUAAGCAUUCCGCCUGGGGAGUACGGCCGCAAGGUUGAAACUCAAAUGAAUUGACGGGG